rnacentral:rRNA from 1 species
UACGAAGGGGGGCUAGCGUUGUUCGGAAUCACUGGGCGUAAAGGGCGCGUAGGCGGCUGUUCAAGUCGGGGGUGAAAUCCCGUGGCUCAACCACGGAAUGGCCUUCGAUACUGGACGGCUAGAGACCGGAAGAGGUGAGUGGAACUGCGAGUGUAGAGGUGAAAUUCGUAGAUAUUCGCAAGAACACCAGUGGCGAAGGCGGCUCACUGGUCCGGUUCUGACGCUGAGGCGCGAAAGCGUGGGGAGCAAACAGG